AAGAAACACCAGGAAAGGCUAAUACUCACUGAGCUGACAUUUUAUUUUCCCAGGAUCGUGAAUGCUGAAAGAUUGACAGCUCUGGGAAGAGCGCCAUCUCUCAAGUGUGCAUUUUACAAGGAGCAGUGAGUUGAGAUUUCCCCGCUAUGAGGCCUCUGCUGAGGUGACGUGCCCAGCACUCAGCGCAGGAGGGAAGCGUUUCUGUGACUUCUGUAGCUUUUGCUCUAUUCACCAUUGAUUCCAAGUUACUGUGACUUCACAGACAUCUUCAU
rnacentral:lncRNA from 10 species